CACAUCAGCAGGUUCCACAUUAAGUCAAGUCCUCUGGAAUCUCAUGAGAUCUGCAGCUACUGUCGUCACUGAAGUCUUGAACCUCUCAAGGUCCUCCAUGAAGCUGGCAUAGCUCACAGCACAACUUUCAGAGCUGGAACCAUUUAUCUGAGGCUGAAUUCUUUGCCCGUUAUAUCACUAAUGAGACUGUGUGCCUUCUCUUGGUACACCACGAGGAGGUGAACGAACGUGACUGUGCUGGACAUCCAUCACUUCAGAUUCAUUAAGUCAGUCUUCUAAGACUGAUCACUGCACCUCUCUCUACGGCAAUGCAAACAUGAUCAAUGAUUGUUCCUGUUCCCUUGAUAGUACAUGAUUAGUUUCUGCAAAUCUUGGAAUAGGGUAAAACUGAAUACAAAUUAUAUUAGCAGAACUAAUGUGCUUCUGAUUGAAGAUUACCUAUUAAUGGAAAUUUCAGAAAAGGAACCUUAUCAAUUAACAUAAGCCCCAAGGAGCAGAAACGAAAGGAAAUUAGACCAAAUACUACAAGAAACCAGCAAUAUAAGAGGAUGAUCAUCAAUAACAUAGAGAUACU